rnacentral:rRNA from 1 species
AUGGGCUACUCUUCGGCUGAGUGCCUGGCCAUUGCCAAUCGACUUAACUGCCGCCUGGGCUCCUUCCCCACGACCUACUUGGGAACGCCCAUUAGUGACUCCCGGCUCACCGUCACGGACUUGCACCCUACCGUGGCCAAGCUACAAACGUGCAUUGAGCCAUGGCAGGGUAGAUGGUUGUCAAAGGCGGCCCGGACGAUUCUCAUCAACUCCUCCCUGUCCAGCCUCCUCUUGUUCCUCAUGAGCUUCUACAGCCUUCACGAGACUCUGCACCAUGCGAUCGCCAAAGUCCAGUCUCGUUUCUAUUGGGCAUGCGACAACAAUAAGCAGAAAUACCAUAUGGUCAGCUGGCCUGACAUUUGCAAGCCCCGGGAACAAGGAGGCCUCGGUAUCAUGUGCUCUAAGCGCAUGAAUAUUGCCCUCCUAUCCCGAUGGCUUUGGCGCAUCUCACAAGGUCACGGUGGCCUCUGGCUCAACAUCAUCCGGAACAAGUACCUGCAUGGACAACCCCUAGCCUUUUGUCAGUGAUCUGGUGGCUCCCAGUUCUGGCAGUCGUUCGUCCAACUUCUCCCUGUCCUCCGCAUCGGGACCUCCAUCUCGAUGGGGUCUGGGGCGGCGACUUUGUUCUGGUUUGACCGGUGGGCUGGAGACACCCCCUUUGUUGCGCGCUUCCCCGACCUCUUCUCCAUCGCUGUUAACCCUCGAUCUCAGUUGAGAGGGCCCUUAUUGACUUAG